UACGGAGGGUGCAAGCGUUAAUCGGAAUUACUGGGCGUAAAGCGCGCGUAGGCGGCUGGAUAAGUCGAUUGUGAAAGCCUUGGGCUCAACCUGAGAAUUGCAGUCGAGACUGUUCGGCUAGAGUGUGGGAGAGGGUGGUGGAAUUCCACGUGUAGCGGUGAAAUGCGUAGAGAUGUGGAGGAACACCGAUGGCGAAGGCAGCCUCCUGGGUCUUUUCUGACGCUGAGGGACGAAAGCUAGGGUAGCGAACGGG
rnacentral:rRNA from 1 species